GACGACUGAUUUCCACCUCCAUACCUCUUCAGUCUCACUCGCUUCUUGCAAUUGGAACCAUCCUCCAUCCUGCCGCCUGGCUUCCGUUACAUCGACCUUGAGAUGUUCGUCAUCGAGAUGCUGCGCCCUAAAACCAGUGACCCUUCACUCCGCAGAGGAUGCACGAUCAGUUGUUUCGUUCUUGAUAUAGCUAGUAACGCCAUAACCAACCAAACAGGAUGUAAUUGUACUUGAAAUAAGGGAUGAACAUUAUGGUCAGAUGAACUCGCCUUUCGUCCUGAAGCGGCAAACCACGGACGUAAGGAAGGUCAGCAGCACCACUCUUACUAACAUCUCGAUCCUCAAGGGUUUCAGCCACCACCAUUGAUGAAGACCUGGUGAGAGAAAACAAUCCCACAUCAGGAAGCGCUCACUGGCGUGCUGACUAAAGUGAAAACAGAGGCUUUUAUUUUUCGCUGUUUAUUAACUGGUGGUUUGAAAUAAAAAAUGCUUCAGGAAAAACAUUAUUCUUCAUGGUCGUCUGUUUAUCUCUUAUUAGCAUUAGUUUGGGAUUGGCUGUUUUCGUUUCAUAUGGAAAAGUUUUGAGUAUAACGCAUACUCUCUCUCUCUCUCUCUCUCUCUCUCUCUCUCUCUCUCUCUCUCUCUCUCUCUCUCUCUCUCUCUCUCUCUCUCUCUCUCUCUCUCUCUCUCUCUCUCUCUCUAAGAAUUUAAAAUACUGUACGUAACAUUUAUUACCAGGUCGUGUGCAUGCUUCUCUUUCCAUGCAAGUUAACAGGGUGAGCUUUCUAACGGUUAAUAUUUUGUAGUAAAAGUAUGGAAAAUGCUCAAACGUGAAUUUCAAAGAUACAAAUACCAUGGACUGGACUUUUAUCUCCCUUGUAACCGAAAUGUUACCAACCCAUUCUUAUAUUCUUAAAGAGAAACAGAAUUCAUGUCGACAACCUACAGCGUCGAGUUUACUAAAGAAAGUAAGCGCAAGACAAAUAAAUAAAUAAAUUGUGAUAGUUUAUUCGUGUCACAUGUCAUCAUGCCUUAUGAGUAUUUCUGAAUGUAGUAGUCAUUUCAUCAAGACUCAUUCAUGCAUGAAAAAGACACAAGAUACUGAGAUGGACCGACAAAAGCUGUACAUCGGAGAGUGAGGGUUGCAGCACACCUCUGCAAGGAGGAAGACUUACUGCUCAAGUUGUCUCGCCGUUCUCGGUCGAGAGUUGACUGGUACUCGCUGGUCUGGCUGAGGGCUGCAUGCAUGUCCACUGGUUUUAUAUCACAACAUACUAUUUGCGUGAAUGGCUGAGGCCAGCAAUUAGCAGCUACGGAGGAUGCGCGAAACUUGAAGACAAAGCACUUCUAGAUAUUGAUUUUAAACAAACAUUAUUAUCAUUAUUAUUAUUAUCAUCAUUAUUAUUAAUAUUAUUAUCAUUUAUUAUUAUUAUUAUCUCGGUGAUAUUUGUG